CAAAAUUUGAUCUGGGAUGGGUAAAAGUAAGCAUGGGAAGGUCUGGGCAAAAUUCAACAUGGAAGGGUCUGAGCAAAAUUUAAUAAGGGAAGAUCUGGGCAAAAUUUCAUGUGGGAUGGGUAAAAAGCAUGGGAAGGUCUGGGCAAAAUUCAGCAUGGAAGGGUCUGAGCAAAAUUUAAUAUGGGAAGGUCUGGGCGAAAUUUCAUGUGGGAUGGGUAAAAAUUAAGCAUGGGAAGGUCUGGGCAAAAUUCAGCAUGGAAUGGUCUGGGUAAAGUUUAGUGUGGGAUGG